UACGUAGGGUGCGAGCGUUAAUCGGAAUUACUGGGCGUAAAGCGUGCGUAGGCGGUUCGUUAAGUUCGUUGUGAAAGCCCCGGGCUCAACCUGGGAAUGGCAAUGGAAACUGGCGGACUGGAGUAUGGCAGAGGGGGGUGGAAUUCCGCGUGUAGCAGUGAAAUGCGUAGAGAUGCGGAGGAACACCGAUGGCGAAGGCAGCCCCCUGGGCCAAUACUGACGCUCAGGCACGAAAGCGUGGGGAGCAAACAGG
rnacentral:rRNA from 1 species